rnacentral:other from 1 species
CAGAGGCUGGGUUGUUCGUUUGGAUAUGUAGUUUCAACCUAUAGUGAGUAAUAGGGAAUCCUAUAUGAUGAGGAAAGACAGCAUGCCUUCACUAUGUGCAAGGACGCCUGAAAACCUGAUUGCGGAUGCCCACCUGGUGGAACAGGUUUUGAAACUCCAUAUUAAUUCGACGGCAGCAACGGCUUUAUC